UGGGGAAUUGUUCGCAAUGGGCGCAAGCCUGACGACGCAACGCCGCGUGGAGGAUGAAGACCUUCGGGUCGUAAACUCCUUUCGACCGAGAUGAAGACCUCUCGACCUAACACGUUGAGAGAUUGACAGUAUCGAGGGAAGCAGCCCCGGCUAACUCCGUGCCAGCAGCCGCGGUAAUACGGGGGGGGCAAGCGUUGUUCGGAAUUACUGGGCGUAAAGGGUUCGUAGGUGGCCAACUAAGUCAGACGUGAAAUCCCUCAGCUUAACUGGGGAACUGCGUCUGAUACUGGUUGGCUUGAGUGCAGGAGAGGAAUGCGGAAUUCCAGGUGUAGCGGUGAAAUGCGUAGAUAUCUGGAGGAACACCGGUGGCGAAGGCGGCAUUCUGGACUGUAACUGACACUGAUGAACGAAAGCCAGGGUAGCAAACGG
rnacentral:rRNA from 1 species